rnacentral:lncRNA from 1 species
AGUCUGCAGCUGGCCUGGGAGGCAGACCCCAGAAAAAACAGGAGCUGGUAGUAGGCGCGGACUCUGGCUAGUCUGGGUUAGCCUGAAGAGAUGACCCACCGGAAUCAGGACACGAAAGGUUCACAUCAGACGUUAAAGAGCAUUUCUGAAUCAUCAGGACCCCGAAGGAGUCCCAGAAACAGCCAGUCUAACAAGCAAACCAGGCAGAGAUUCCUGUAGUAGCCAGUGACACCCUUGAAGUCGGGAUCCUCAAACCUCCAUGUUCCAAGUGCUGCACUUACAGGCGUGUGACAUCUUGCUGAGCUUAAAACCUUGAGGGAGCUGACAAUCCGGAAUGAUGGAGCCUUCUGUGUGACUUUAAGGGUGUGCCCUGGAGACUAUUCAAGCUGUAGCUGAAUGUUGACCUGUGCUGUUGGAGGCAGUUCCAGAAGAUUGGCUCAGCUGACACAGAGUUUGAUGAGAGAUUUCCAAGACAGAAUCAGAGAUCCUUUCAAGUGGUUUAGAGAAAACUUGUUUCUCUGCACUCAAGAAAUGCUUACCAUCUCUUAAAGCACGGCUCUCUGUCCUUUGUGGAAUGCACAUCACUGAGUGAAGAGAACAAUUCCUGGGAGAGAGUGUGUUGCACUUUCGUUUCCAGCACCAGUUCUGUGCACGGAGCAAGUAACCCCAAGCACACCUAUCAGGAAACUGGAAAGCCACUCAGUCCUUCAGGUGUUUCUCAAGACCUACUAGACAUGGCAUUGGACUAUGUAUGCGGAUGGUGGCAGAAUCUUUGCUGAUGGUGCCAUCACACCCAACAGCAGGAGAAAGGAGCUAGCCGAUGCCUCUGUGCUGUGAAAGGCUCUGCCUUAUUCUUGUCUCCAGUAGCCCAGCAUGAUGCUGAGCUUCUGUUGGGAGCCAGACUAUGCCAUGAAUGAUGGAGUUUCAGGCUUUGCUAUGCCUGGAACAUGUUGCUCAGUGGGAGGCAGGCGUCUUGUUUUCUUUUACUCCCAUUUGGCCAGAGCAUCUCAUUAUGUAAGACCGCCACUGUUUAUCUGCACCGUAUUUUUACAAGGGUUGUUCUAAGGUUUGGCAGAUAGGAGGGAAUAUUUCAUGAAGCAGGGUUCGUAAUGAACAAGGCCUUAAAUGAAGUUUCUGUAGGACCUAAAAGGUGUUCAUUCUGAGAAUAUUUAAUGCUUGCUUUCUCUCUCUCUCUCUCUCUCUCUCUCUCUCUCUCUCUCUCUCCCUCUCUCCCUCCCUCCCUCUCUCUCUCUCUCUCUCUCUCUUUCUUUCUUUCUUUCUUUCUUUCUUUCUUUCUUUCUUUCUUUCUUUCUUUCUUUCUUGUUCACAUCCAUUGGAUUUAGAUGAGAGGCCAAUGGUGAGCCAGGAACUAUUACUACAUCUUAUACUACAUCUUAAUUUAUGUUUUAAAGAAACCAAAAUGUAUCAUGCUGUUGCUAGAGAAUAUUUACCUUUAUCUCAUCUUGGCAAAUACUUCUAAAACCUUGUCUGUCAUGGAGCAGAGCCUUGUCUUUGGAAAGUCCUGUCUCUCCAUGAGCCAACCUAAAACAUACAGCGCCACUUUAAACGGCUUGUGGCUGACACUGAGUUGCCUAUGAAUGGGUUAUUUCAUGAAGGUGUAGUUGGGAAGAUGGAAUGACGUGCCAAGUGUGCUAAAAAAUUAGUUCUUUGUUCAAAUAUUAUUUUAUUGUUAGCUCUUAGAGCAUUGUAAUCUAACAGUUACUACAUAAAUCUGGGAACUAAUAAAAUGGCUUCAACGC